GGCCGCGCCGUAGCAGCAGCGAGAGCGGGCGGCGGGCGGAGGGGUGGGCUCUCCGCGGCGCGUGGGUCCCCCCUGGCUUGGAGCCGUGGUACGGUCGGCGGGAAGGAGCCGCGGCGCGGGGCGGUGCGCGGCACUGAGCCGGCGGCUCCCGCGGGCGAGGCGGGACGGGCCGGGCCCUCCGUCCGCACGGCACCGACCUGCCCGGCACCGACCUGCCCGGCACCGACCUGCCCGGCACCGACCUGCCCGGGUGAAGAGCCACAGAGAGGAGCUGCGCCUGCUCGUGCUGCGGGCUCGGGGACAGCGACAGAGCCCGGGUGCCCAGCCAGCCCUGGCAUCCAAGAUGUCCUUGAAGGUGCAGACCAGCAACAUCACCAACAAGAAUGACCCCAAGUCCAUCAACUCGCGGGUGUUCAUCGGCAACCUCAACACAGCAGUGGUGAAGAAGUCGGAUGUGGAGACCAUCUUCUCCAAGUACGGGCGCGUGGUCGGCUGCUCCGUGCACAAGGGCUACGCCUUCGUGCAGUACUCCAACGAGCGGCACGCGCGCGCCGCCGUGCUGGGCGAGAACGGCCGCGUGCUGGCCGGCCAGAGCCUGGACAUCAACAUGGCCGGGGAGCCCAAACCCAACAGACCCAAAGGGCUGAAGAGAGCAGCCUCUGCCUUGUACAGUGGCUACGACUUCGACUAUGACUAUUACAGAGACGAUUUCUACGACAGGAUCUUCGAGUACCGGGGCCGGGUGUCGCCGGUGCCGCGGGUGGUGCCGGUGAAGCGGCCCCGCGUCACCAUCCCGCUGGUGCGGCGCGUCAAGGCCUCGCUGCCCGUCAAGCUGUUCGCCAGGUCGGCCAUCGCCAACAGCUCGGCCAAGCUCAAGCUGAAGAGCAGCGAGCUGCAGACAAUCAAAACGGAGCUGACACAGAUCAAAUCCAACAUUGAUGCUCUCCUGGGCCGGCUGGAGCAGAUUGCUGAGGAACAGAAGCUGUCUGCAGAGGCCCGGAAGAAGGUGGAGAGCAGCAAGAGCGAGGUGUCCCAGGAGGACACGGCCUCCGAGGCCGAGGCCACCGCGGAGGAGCCGCUCAACGGGGACGAGGAGGAGGGGCUGGCACGGGAGGAGUGUGAAGAUGAACUGGGGUAAGAAAACACUGGAGAGACAUCUGCUGGCAGUGGUUUGGGAAGAGCUGGUCCUCAUUAAGAGGAGAAGAAAAAGAUGACUGUUUCAGCUCACAUCUCUAUUUUCUGUAACUCCCUGGUCCUGAUGUGGCAUCAAGACCAGAAAUGUUCCACUGCCAGCCUCAGACAGGCUCCCAUGGAUGGUCAGGGCAGAGCUCACAGCACUGAGCAGUCCUGAGGUGCCCCAGUUCCUGGGAGUGACUCCUUUAUCCCACUCCCCAGUGUGGCUGUCACCACUGCUGUCCAUGGACAUGGCACCCACAUGGGCUCUAUGGGGCAGGAGGGUGGCAGGAGAAGAACCAGAGGUCACUCAGACAGAGCUGAGGGAAUGUUUUGAGUUCUGAGCCAUAAAUUUGGAUGUACUGUACUCUGUACUCUGUACUGACCAUGGCAGUACUCUGUACUGACCAACUGGAUUGGUGGUCAGUACUAUUUACUACACUUAGUAGGGGAUACAAAGAUUGUUGUGUAUUAAAUGUCACAUGUGUGCAAAAAAUGUCACCUGCCAGCCCAUCAAUGCCUGGUGUCAGCUGAGGAGUGUCUUGGGGGAUGGCCCUGCUCAAGGGGAGAUCCCUGCACACAGAGGGAGGGAUUUCUGCAGGGAAAGCUAAAGGACUCCUGAUGUGGUCAGGUAUUUACAGAACACUGUGGUUGAUUUGCAGUCAGAUUUUCUUCUCAUUUCAUGCAGUUUUGGUCAUUUAUCUGCCCAGUCUGCAUCUAAACAGUUUUUGGGGUUGGUGCUGGGUGCCCACUGAAAGUCUCACACCGUAGGAGUCUGGGUGUCCUGGCCUCCUUGGCCUCCAGAGAGGUUUCACAUGGGAUUUUACCAAGCAGAUUCCUGAGCAAGCCCAAAUGGAUCUGAUCCUGCUCUUGGUGUUGGUCACUUCUCUGGGGUACUCAGGGUCACAGUCCCAUGGCUCUGCAGCCAAGGCUUCUCUCCACCUUCACAUCCCUGACCAGGUGUUCUUGGCCCUCAGGAACCAGAGCGAUGCCUCCCCUGCUCAGCUGGGUCAGAACUUACUCUUGAUGCUGUCCCAAAGUCUUCUGUUUCUUGCUCCAGCCCUGCUCCUUCCCCCAGAUGCCCGGGGGUCCCCAGGGGUCUGUGCACCAGUGGUGUGCAGGGUAUCAGCAGCUGGGCUGGCCCUGAUCCUCCCCCACAGGCUCCCAGCCCAUUCCAAGGCACAUCCCAGUGCAGCUGGCUCUGCCUGCCCUGAGCAAGGCCACCUCUCCUGGCCUUCAGGCACAGCCUGUUCCCUUUCCUUUCUUUUUGGAGCUCCUCAUGCCCCCUGCAGAGAGCUCCUGGAUCCAUUUCCAUCCCUGAAAUCCUCACCCUGUGCAGGAGGUCAAACACCUCUGCUGAGCACCCCAUUCCCCAGUGAUGCUGCUCUGCACAGCAGCUCCAGGAGCAAAUUCCACUGAGAAUGGCUGGAAAAGACUUACAAGACCAUCAAGGCAGUCCAAACACAUGGUGUGCUUUCCAAAGCCCUGCCUGGAGAGCAGUUCAGCACCAUUAUUACUAGAAAGGCCAUUAUUGUGGCCUUUGGAGUGCUGGAUGAGUGUUACCAUUCUGGAUAAUGAGUUCUGCUGCAAGCUGGGACCAGUUCCUGUGCUCAGCAGCAGAAUCAGGACAUUGAUUUGCCUUUGUGGACUGAGGUGCCUUGGCAGCACUGGGCAGUUCAGGGAACAAGAAACAGGAUGAGAGGAAACGGCCUCCAACUGUGCCAGGGGAAGUUUAGACUGGAGAUCAAGGAAAUUUCUUCACUGAAAGGGUGAUCAGGCAUUGGAACAGCUGGGAAGUGAACACGGACGUGCUGGGUUAAUGGUGGGACUUGAUGAUCUUGGAAGUCUUUUCCAAUCUGAAUGAUUCUGUGAUUCUAUUACUUCCAAGCCCUGGAGGGAAUUACCCACCCCAGGUCUGUUUGGCAGAGCUGUUUCAGAAUCAGGAGCCAGAGGAGACUGGUGUUUCUGCCAGGUGUCCAUACCAGGAGAACAGCCAUUACACAGACGUGGAGGAUGCCAGGCUACAGUAACCAGCUGUGAGCAACAGUGUGAGGAAAGCACGAGGCUAAACCCUGUCCUGGCACGUUGAGCAAGGCAAGCUGAAUGGAAGUGCUGCUGUCAUCUCUACCUGGCAUUCAAAGGAGAAACAUGGCCCGACAUCUUCCAUCCAUCUGUAAAGCAAAGGCAAAGAAAACUCAUCCUCCCAGCAGAUCCCCACCACCCCUGCAAUGGAUUUGGAGCUCUGCAGCCAGCAGAGGCAGGAGCCAGACCUGCACAACCCAGAGCCACCACAGAGCCCAGGAGAGCAGGUGUGUCCCCAGGGCAGCCAGAGGUGUUCCAGAGCUGCUUGCAGGAGAGCAGAGAGAGCUCAGCCCAGCCCAAUAAAGACAUUUCCUGUGUGAGGUGAGAGCCAGAGCAUUUCCUAACUGAGGGAGAAGUAGUGUCAGUCUGCACAGUUUGUGUUCUUGUGCUGAGGAUGCUGUUGGUCAGAAGCUGUGGGGUGAGCUGUCCUCCAGCACGGCCACCUCCUGCCACCUCUCUUGUGCCCCAUGAGCUGCUGUGUGUCCACGGUCACUUCAGGUGGAAAGGAGUCAGGCUGGAGCAGCUGCUGUGCUCUGGGAAGCUGCUUGAGGAGGGAAGGGGAGAGGAAGCUGCAGGAAAGCAAGUGACCCCAAGCAGGAGAGAGCCAGCAAUCAUCACCCUGAGUGGUUUGGUGUCCUCAUUCUCCACCGUGUCAGGGCUGAGCAAGCCUCUGCAGAGUGAGGGGCGUGGAUGAGACCCUUUCCUUGGACCAGCUGCUCCUGGAAGGGAUGUGGAGCACCCAACUCCUGCAGGCUGGAGUCAGAGACCUUCCCUGGCUGCCCACACCUCCUCCUGCCCCGGCCAGGGCGCGUCAGGAGCGUGGUGUGACCGCUCUGCUCCUGCCUGAGCUCUGUGGCCAGGGUGAAGCGUGCCCGAGGCUGGGCACAGGGAGUGCUCUGGGCAUGGUGCAGGUGGGUGUGCAGCAGCCCCCAGCUGCUGUGCCCCCUGCCCCGUGCUGUGAGCACAGGGCUCGUCGUGGGACCCAGAGAGGCCUCAGCCGUUCUCUCCUCGUUUCUCCUUCCUGGGCUCCUCCCAUUUUCUCGGGGACUGAAACUCACACAGCACUUUACCCACACCUGGUGUGUCCUGCCUGCCCCUUCCCCUCCAGAACACACAGCAGUGCUUGGAACCCAGAGCAGUGUCCACACCUUCCCCUGGCCAGUCCCUCCCACACCACACCUGAGUGGUCCUGAGUGCUCCAACCUCGUCCACAGCAUCUCUUGGAAGGGUGAAGGGAAAACAGCUCCAGGGGUGACACUGCCCUGCCCCUGGUGCCAUCCUGGAGCACGCAUGGCUCUUGAAGCACAAAGUUUUCUUUGCAUUUCUUAGUUUGGGCUGCUUGAGGAGGGGUUGGAGGGAGCCCUGUGCUUGCCCUGCCCUUUGGCAGUUCCUGUGCAAAGUCUGCACCAAGGUGUCCCGAGCCGUUCUCCAGGCCUGGAGAGAUGAGCUGCAGGUUUGGCUGUGAACUGACUGUGCUGCUGCUGUUUGGGAGAGGUGACCUUGUACAUAUGAUCCUGUAUAAUAAAAGAAAGAAAUCUAA